UCAUAGCAGUUUUAUUUGUUAUGUGUUAACUUUAACGUUACUGUCAUGUUUAAACAACUAUACUAUUGCUGCAUCUUUAUGUUCACUGAAUAUAAAUUGACAUCAAUGUGCUGGGUUCUUUGUGGUUAAUUGGGUCUUUACAUUACUCUGGUCCUCUGGACAAUUUCAUGUUAGAAAAGAGCACUUGUCAUAAGCUUUUAACAUUUGCAGUUGUUGCAGUCUCACUUUGUUUUCAUUUUAAUAAACUGAUUUGCCUAAUUUUGAUUUUUUAAUUGGAUUUUGCAACACUCUAGUAACUAAUAAGGUAUUUGAAGUUGGUUUUUCAAUUUCCACAUCAAUAUGUUAAUUGUAGAAUUAUGAACAUGGUGUUUUUCCCCACUCCUUGCGGCUUUUUCAGAUUUUGG
rnacentral:misc_RNA from 1 species